CUGGUACACUUCUCAGAAGUCACUGUUGCAGCAAGGUGGUGCAGGUGUCAUGCUACCUGCUUCUGAGACACAUGCUGUGCUAUGCUCCACUUGUAACUCUUGUCUAUCUGAAUCACCUUCCAGAUUCAUGAGACAGUUUUAAAGCUACCUAGUUAGAUUUUAGCUGUGAUUCCAGUUUCUCCAACAAAAAAAGGCAACUUAGAAGAGGAAGAGUUUAUUUUAGCUCACAGUUCCUGGUCAUGGUCCAUCACAACAGGGAAGACAAGGCAGGAAGAACUUAAAGCAGCUCUUGAUCAUAUCAUGGUCAAGAGCACAGAGAAUGAACGCUUGCAUGUUUACUCCUCAGGCAGUCCAGGUCAGUAGUGUCAGGAUACCAAACAAAUCGGCAGCGUUGGCACCAUGCAGCAGAAACAACCAGGCCCCUGCUGAACAGGCAUGAGUCAGAGGGAGCGACCAGAACCAGCUGGGAUACCAGGAGAAGUUCUCUGCCCUGCCUCUUUGGAUGAAGUGAAGAUCAGUGAAGAUUUGAGACCAACAAACUGUUGUAAGGCUAGCUACGCAAGCCCCACAUCCCUGUCCGCUGGGUCCUAUUUAUACUCUCCAAACAUCACAUGUUGCCCCGUCAAGAAAACCGCAUGAGUCUGCAUCGCAUACCACAACCAUAAACUUCCACUUCACAGGAGGAGCCGGCUCUUGCCAACCAGCUAGUGAACGGCUAGUUGGCACUUCCUUCAGAGCCAAGCCAGCAGCAUGCUAUCCUCUAUGUACCUCAUCACAAGCAAGACCCCCAAAACAGAAGAGCCAGGUGAGACGUGCAGAGAGAAAGAAGGAGAUAAGAAAUAUAUUCUUUCAAGAGACUUAGCUUAAGUCUAACUUGUCAUGUAGUGAUAAUAAAUGAGUGGAACCCGCUGAA